AAGUAGGUGAUCACAGAUCCAGGAAGAGGUCCCUGUUCUGCCUGAUCCAGACCAAGCUCUUGAGCCUGGGUUACCUAAGUCUCAGACUCAAAAUAGACAACAACUUUUUCACAGAAGAUAUCUGCAAGUAGUUCUGUUUCAUGCUUCUCAGCAGUGCAGCAUGUUCACUGAAGGGGGUGAACUCAGCAGUUGCAGAGAUUUUCUAGGAACCAAGAAAACUGAGCAGGCCACUUUUCCAGCAUCCUAAAAUCUUACAUUUGAUAAUGCUCUGACCUGAAACACUGUUGCUUCAACCUUCUCCUGGGGCAGAGAAUUAAAUCCU
rnacentral:lncRNA from 1 species